rnacentral:piRNA from 1 species
CUCAGCCACAAUACUAAUUCUAGCACUA